rnacentral:rRNA from 1 species
AUUGAACGCUGGCGGCAGGCUUAACACAUGCAAGUCGAGCGGAGUGAUGGUGCUUGCACUAUCACUUAGCGGCGGACGGGUGAGUAAUGCUUAGGAAUCUGCCAUUUAGUGGGGGACAACAUUCCGAAAGGAAUGCUAAUACCGCAUACGUCCUACGGGAGAAAGCAGGGGAUCUUCGGACCUUGCGCUAAAUGAUGAGCCUAAGUCGGAUUAGCUAGUUGGUGGGGUAAAGGCCUACCAAGGCGACGAUCUGUAGCGGGUCUGAGAGGAUGAUCCGCCACACUGGGACUGAGACACGGCCCAGACUCCUACGGGAGGCAGCAGUGGGGAAUAUUGGACAAUGGGCGGAAGCCUGAUCCAGCCAUGCCGCGUGUGUGAAGAAGGCCUUUUGGUUGUAAAGCACUUUAAGCGAGGAGGAGGCUACUAGUACUAAUACUACUGGAUAGUGGACGUUACUCGCAGAAUAAGCACCGGCUAACUCUGUGCCAGCCGCCGCGGUAACA